UACGAAGGGGGCUAGCGUUGUUCGGAAUUACUGGGCGUAAAGCGCACGCAGGCGGUUCGAUUAGUCAGAAGUGAAAGCCCCGGGCUCAACCUGGGAAUUGCUUUUGAUACUGUCGAGCUUGAAUCACGGAGAGGGUAGUGGAAUUCCGAGUGUAGAGGUGAAAUUCGUAGAUAUUCGGAAGAACACCAGUGGCGAAGGCGACUACCUGGCCGUCGAUUGACGCUCAUGUGCGAAAGCGUGGGGAGCAAACAGG
rnacentral:rRNA from 2 species